GGCAACGUGGCCGAGUGGUUAAGGCGACAGCCUCGAAUGCUAUCUGAUAGCACUGCAAGCUGUUGGGUUCGCCCGCGCGCGUUCAAAUCGCGUCGUUGUCG
rfam:Aspergillus aculeatus ATCC 16872 unplaced genomic scaffold ASPACscaffold_5, whole genome shotgun sequence.